AUGGAGACCCUGGAGACUGCGGUCUCCCUGUUAUUUAACCACAGAACAAGGGCAGUGUCUGUUCAUGCUUUCCCCACACAACCCUACCAUUGUGCCUCAACCCUAAUCUAGGGUCACUCUCCAUGAAGGUCAGCCUCCAGGGAGGGGCUAGGAAACUCCAUAGGGUGGACAGGAUUUGGCUCCC
rnacentral:sRNA from 1 species